CCAUAGAGAUAGGGAUAUAAAGAAGCGAGAGUGUGUGAACAAACCGAAAAAGCAAUAUAGAAAUAGGUAGAGAAGGUUGUAUAAAGGCCCCUUGUGUUCUUAUCUUAUAACGCAUGCGCAUUCUUCCUGUAAAUACGUAAGUGUAAUAAUUAUCAACGAGUAGCGUCAGUGUGUAUGCCGGAUUAGACAAGAACAGAAGGGGCCUCUACACAGCGUUAUCUUUCUAUUCCCAUACCGCAUUCACUUACACGUGCAAAGUAUAAAGAUAUAUUGUUGGAGCGUUAGCGGAGAGACGCGGUGGCGGUAGAUCGUGUGAACGAGAGUCGUAAACGAUUAGAGUCGCGAACGUUACGAUUAGAUAAUCGACGCCACGAAACGAUCGAUCCCCUAUUUCGUUUAGGAUAAUAGAGGUGGUUGAACUGAUUAUAACAGCGAAGUAACAGGUUACAAUAUGCACUUUAUUCGAACAACUUUGUAGACAUAGACAGUUACGCUCGGUACGUAUAGAUAUAAGUUAAACAGAUGACUGAUCUAAGUUAAAUCAGUCAAGACAUUGACUAGU